CCGCUGAUGGAUGAGCCUGCGGCGCAUUAGCUAGUUGGUAGGGUAAAGGCCUACCAAGGCGACGAUGCGUAGCCGACCUGAGAGGGUGAACGGCCACACUGGGACUGAGACACGGCCCAGACUCCUACGGGAGGCAGCAGUGGGGAAUAUUGCACAAUGGGGGAAACCCUGAUGCAGCAACGCCGCGUGAGUGAUGAAGGUUUUCGGAUCGUAAAGCUCUGUCUUUGGGGAAGAUAAUGACGGUACCCAAGGAGGAAGCCACGGCUAACUACGUGCCAGCAGCCGCGGUAAUACGUAGGUGGCGAGCGUUAUCCGGAAUUAUUGGGCGUAAAGGGAGCGUAGGCGGAUAAUUAAGUGGGAUGUGAAAUACUCAGGCUCAACCUGGGGGCUGCAUUCCAAACUGAUUAUCUAGAGUGCAGGAGAGGAGAGUGGAAUUCCUAGUGUAGCGGUGAAAUGCGUAGAGAUUAGGAAGAACACCAGUGGCGAAGGCGACUCUCUGGACUGUAACUGACGCUGAGGCUCGAAAGCGUGGGGAGCAAACAGGAUUAGAUACCCUGGUAGUCCAUGCCGUAAACGAUGAAAUACUAAGGUGUGGGGGGUUCAACACCUCCGUGCCGCCGCUAACGCAUUAAGUUUUCCGCCUGGGGAGUCCGGUCGCAAAGAUUAAAACUCAAAGGAAUUGACGUGGACCCGCCCAAGCAGCGGAGCGGGUGGUUUUUUUUUGAAGCAACCCGAAGAACGCUACCUUCACUUGGCAUCCCUUCCAUUACCGUGUAGUCGGCGAAAUCUCUUCGGAGACAAGGUGACAGGUGGGGCAUGGUUGUUCUCUUCUCGUGUCGUGAGAUGUUGGGUUAACUCCCUCAACGAGCGCAACCCCAAUUGUUAGUUGCUCCCUUUAAUGUGAGCAGCUCUAUCGAGACGUCCCUUGGUUAACCAGGAGGAAGGUGGGGAUGACGUCAAAUCAUCAUCCCCCUUAUGUGUAGGGUUUCUCACGUGCUGCAUUGGCAAGUACAGAGAGACGCAAAACCGGGAGGUCGGGCAAAUCCCUUAAAACUUGUCCCAGUUCGGAUUGUAGGGUGAAACUCGCCUCCAUGAAGCCGGAGUUGUUAGUAAUCGAGAAUCAGAAUGUCGCGGUGAAUACGUUCCCG
rnacentral:rRNA from 1 species